AGCAGUCGCCACGGGAAUACGUAGGGCGCAAGCGUUAUCCGGAAUUAUUGGGCGUAAAGAGCUCGUAGGCGGUUUGUCGCGUCUGCCGUGAAAGUCCGGGGCUCAACCCCGGAUCUGCGGUGGGUACGGGCAGACUAGAGUGAUGUAGGGGAGACUGGAAUUCCUGGUGUAGCGGUGAAAUGCGCAGAUAUCAGGAGGAACACCGAUGGCGAAGGCAGGUCUCUGGGCAUUAACUGACGCUGAGGAGCGAAAGCAUGGGGAGCGAACAGGAUUAGAUACCCGUGUAGUCCCUGUCUCUUAUAC
rnacentral:rRNA from 1 species